AAGGUAGGGGGUCUAGUUUCAUUCUUCUGUAUGUGGUUAGCCAGCUAUCCUGCACCUUUACUGAAUAGAGAGUCCCUUUCCCAUUGCUUAUUUUUGUCACCUUUGUUAAAUAUCAGAUGGCUGUAGGUGUACAGCUUUAUUUCUGAGCUCUCUAUUCUGUUCCAUUGUUGAACAUUAUUGGUUUAUAGAAAUGCUACUGAUUUUUGUAAAAUGAUUGGAUAUCCUGAAACUUUCCUGACAUUGUUUAUUAGUUUCAGGAUCCUUUUGGAAGAGUCUUUAAGAAUCAUAUUGUAAGCAAGAGAGAUAGUUUGAAUUUCUCUUUUCCUAUUUGGAUACCUUUUAUUUCUUUCUCUUGAAUGCUCAGCUAGGACUUCCAGUUUUUUGUAGAUAUCCUUUAUCAAUUUGAGGAAGUUCCCCUCUAUUCCCAGUUUAUUGAGGAAUUUUUUUUAAUCAUUAAUGGGUGUUGGAUUUUGUCAAAUGCUUUUUCUGAAUCUAUUGAUAAAAUCGUGACUUUUUGUUUUUAGCUUGUUGAUGUGAUGGGUCACAUUUAGUUGAUUUUCCAGUGUUGAAUCAGCCUUGCAUACCUGGAAUAAAUCUCACUUGGUCAUGAUGUAUAAUUUUUUAAACACAUUGUUAGAUCAGAUUUGCUGAUAUUUUGUUGAGGAUUUUUGACUCUGUUUUCUCUUCAGAUUCUGUGAAUUUUGACAGAUAGUGUCUUUCAAGGAAUUGGUUCAUUUUAUAUAGGUUAUCAAAUUUUGGGGAGUAGAGUUUUUUUAUUGUAUUCUUUAUUAUGCUUUUAAUGUCCAUGGGCUCUUUAAUGAUGUGCCAUCUUUCAUUUCUGAUAUUAAUAAUUUGUAUCUUCUCAUGUUUUUCUUAGCCUGGCUAGAAGUUUGUCAAUUUUAUUCAUCUUUCCAAAGAACUAUUAUAGCUUUUGGUUUUAUUAAUUUUCUCUAUUGGUUUUCUGUUUUCAACUUCGUUGAUCUCUGUUCUAUUUUUUAUUACUUUUUUCUGGUUACUUUGAACUUAAUUUGCCCUUCUUUUGCUAGUUUUCUAAGGUGGAUGUUUAGGUAAUUAAUUUUUUAUUUUUAGUUUUUUUUAAUUUAUGCAUUCGGUGCUUUAAAUUUAUCUUAAGCACUGCUUUCACUGCAUCUUGCAAAAUUUUGACGUUGUUUUCAUUUUCAUUUAGUUCAAAGUAUUUUUAAGUUUCUCUCAAGAUUUCUUCAUUGAUCUGUGUAUUGUUUAGAAGUGUGUUGUUUAAUCUCCAAGUAUUUUGGGAUUUUUCCAGCUCUUUCUCUGUUACUGGUUUCCACUUUAAUUAUAUUGUGCUUGGAAAACAGACAAUGCAUAAUUUCUAUUCUUUUAAAUUUGUUAAGGUGUAUUUUAUCACCCAGAAUAUGAUUUAUCUUUGUGAAUGUUCCAUGUGAUCUUGAGAAGAAUGUGUAUUAGGCUGCUGUUGGAUAAAGUAGGCUAUACACGUCUGAUAUAUCCAGCUGUUUGAUGGAGUUGUUGAGUAAAACUGUAUCCUUACUGAUUUCUGCUUGCUGGAUCUGUACAUUUCUUAUAGAGGGAUGUUGAAGUCUCUCACUAUUAGUGGGUUUAUCUUUUUUUUCACUAAAGUUCUAUCAGAUUUUGGCUCAUGUAUACUCUGUUGUUAGGCACAUACACAUUAAGGAUUGUUAUAUCUUCUUGGAGAAUUGACGCCUUUAUCAUUAUGCAAUGAUUAUCUUUAUCCCUGAUAAAUUUCCUUGGUCUAAAGUCUAUCCUGUCUGAAAUCAGUAUACUUUAAAUCUGUAUGUGUUUUUAUAUUUCAAGCGAGUUUCUAAUAGACAACACAUGGUUGGUUCUUGUUUCUUGAUUCACUCUGACAAUCUCUGACUUUUAAUUUUUUUUUUUUUUUUUUUUUUUUUGAGACAGAGUCUCACUCUGUUGCCUAGGCUGGAAUGCAGUGGUGCGAUCUUGGCUUACUGCAACCUCUGCCUCCCGGGUUCAAGCAAUUUUCCUGCCUCAGCCUCCUGAGUAGCUGGGAUUACAGGCACACGCCACCAUGCCUGGCUAAUUUUAGUAGAGACGGUUUCACCAUGUUGGUCUGGCUGGUCUCAAACUCCUGACCUCAUGUUUCACCUGCCUUGGCCUCCCAAAGUGCUGGGAUUACAGGCAAUCUCUGACUUUUAAUUGGCGCAUUUAGACCACUGGCAUUCAAAGUGAUUAUUGAUAUAGUUGGAUUAGUGUCUACCAUAUUUGUUACUGUUUUUUUACCUGUUGUCCCUUUUCUUUGUUUCUAUUUGUUUUUCAGUUUUCCAUUUUUAUUUUUAUUAUAAUUUUUGACUUUCAAAGUUGUCUUUAUUAUUUUUAUUUGUACACAUUUAUGUUGUUAUGUGAAAUUUUUUUAUGUGUUUAUAAUGUGUAGUGAUCAAAUCGGGGUUUUAAGGUGUUCCGCACCUGAGUACAAUACAUUUUUGUAUAACUAUAGUCACCCUACUCUGUUAUCAAACAUUGAAUUUAUUUAUUCUAACAGUAUGUUUUUAUCCUUUAGCUCACUUCUCUUCAUCCUCCCCCACUUAUUUAUCUUUCCACUUUCUACCUUUAUGUGAUCAAAUUUUUUAGCUCCCACAUGUUAGUGAGAACAUGCAAUAUUUGUCUUUUUGUGCCUGGCUUAUUUCACUUAAGAGAAUGACCUCCAUUUCCAACCAUGUUGCUGCAAAUGACAUGAGUUCACUAUUUUUAUGGUUGAAUAGUAUUUUGUUGUGUAUGUGUGUAUACAUACACAUAUAUGUACACAUAUAUGUGUAUGUAUAUAUACAUGUACAUCUGUAUGUAUAUGUAUAUCUGUAACACUUUAUCCAUUCAUUAGUUGAUAGACACACAGGUUGAUAUCUUUGCUAUUAGGAAUAGUGCUGCAAUAAAUGUGUAAGUACAGGUAACCCUUUGAUAUAUUGAUUUCUUUUCCUUUGAGGAGAUACCCAAUAGUGGGAUGGCUGGACCAAAUGGACUGUAUUUUAGUUUUUUGUGAAAUCUCCGUAGUAUUUUCCAUAGUGGAUGUACUAGUUUACAUUCCCACCAACAAUGUAUAAGAGUUCUCUUUUCUCUGCAUCCUUAAAUGAUCGAUUUUUGUCUUAUUUCUCCUUUAUUUUUGAAGGAUAAUUUCACAGGGUACGGAAUUCUAGGUUAGUAGUUUUUUGUUUUUUGUUUUUUGUUUUUUUUUGCUAAACACUUUAAAUAUUUCACCCUACUGUCUUCCGGCUUGCAUAAUUUCUGAAAAGGCAGAUGUAAUUCUUAUCUUUUCUUCUCUAUAAGUAAGGUGGUCUUUGUGGGUUCUUUUUCUUUACUCUUCUAUUUGCUUUCAGGAUGUUGUUGUUUUGUUGUUGUUGUUGUUGCCUACGGCACUUGGUAUUUCCUAAUGGUUUCCCAUUCAAGUACUAGCCAAACCCAAUCUUGCUUAGCAUUUUUUUUUUUUAAUUUAAGUUCUAGGGUACAAGUGCACAACGUGCAGUUUUGAUACAUGUGCCAUGUUGGUGUGCUGCACCCAUCAACUCGUCAUUUACAUUAGGUAUUUCUCCUAAUGCUAUCCCUCUCCCUGCCCCCCACCCCCCAACAGGCCCUGACGUCUGAUGUUCCCCACCCUGUGUCCAAGUGUUCUCAUUGUUCAUUUCCCACCAAUGAG
rnacentral:lncRNA from 10 species